UUUAUUUCACAACAAAAAGAGACAUUUAAUAUAUAGAAUUGAGCUCCUAUAUUUUUAAAAAGUAUUAAGUUAUUGGUGCUUGUAGAUUUUUGAUCCUUAGAUUAAAGGACGCGUUGUUAGAAUGAUAGCGAUUCUCUUGGGUUGAGUAAGUGGUUGAUUGAAUAGUAUGAUCUAAUAGAUGAAAAUAAUCAAAAAAAUAAAUCUAACGGUGAAAAACUUACAAGCACAAGUUUUAU
rnacentral:lncRNA from 1 species